CGGUACAUCGGUGACAGGUGGUGCAUGGUUGUCGUCAGCUCGUGUCGUGAGAUGUGGGUUAAGUCCCGCAACGAGCGCAACCCCUAUUGUUAGUUGCCAUCAUUCAGUUGGGCACUCUAGCGAGACUGCCGGUAAUAAACCGGAGGAAGGUGGGGAUGACGUCAAAUCAUCAUGCCCCUUAUGACCUGGGCUACACACGUGCUACAAUGGUUGGUACAACGAGUUGCGAGUCGGUGACGGCGAGCUAAUCUCUUAAAGCCAAUCUCAGUUCGGAUUGUAGGCUGCAACUCGCCUACAUGAAGUCGGAAUCGCUAGUAAUCGCGGAUCAGCACGCCGCGGUGAAUACGUUCCCGGGCCUU
rnacentral:rRNA from 1 species